rnacentral:rRNA from 1 species
GUCCACGCCUUAAACGAUGAUUACUAGGUGUUCGAUGGAUUAACCCAUUGAGUACCAAAGCUCACGCAUUAAGUAAUCCGCCUGGGGAGUACGGUCGCAAGGCUAAAACUCAAAGGAAUUGACGGGGGCCCGCACAAGCGGUGGAGUAUGUGGUUUAAUUCGAAGCAACGCGAAGAACCUUACCUAGCCUUGACAUCCCUUGACCGCUGCAGAGAUGUAGCUUUCCCUUCGGGGACAAGGAGACAGGUGCUGCAUGGCUGUCGU